rnacentral:snRNA from 1 species
GUUCACUUCAGCAGUACAUAUACUAAAAUUGGAAUGAUACAGAGAAGAUUAACAUGGCCCCUGUGCAAGGAUGACAUGCAAAUUCAUGAAGUGUUCCAUAUUUUU